GGACAACAGUUGGAAACGACUGCUAAUACCGCAUAAGCGCACAGCUUCGCAUGAAGCAGUGUGAAAAACUCCGGUGGUACAAGAUGGACCCGCGUCUGAUUAGCUGGUUGGUGAGGUAACGGCCCACCAAGGCGACGAUCAGUAGCCGGCCUGAGAGGGUGAACGGCCACAUUGGGACUGAGACACGGCCCAAACUCCUACGGGAGGCAGCAGUGGGGAAUAUUGCACAAUGGGGGAAACCCUGAUGCAGCAACGCCGCGUGAGUGAAGAAGUAUUUCGGUAUGUAAAGCUCUAUCAGCAGGAAAGAAAAUGACGGUACCUGACUAAGAAGCCCCGGCUAACUACGUGCCAGCAGCCGCGGUAAUACGUAGGGGGCAAGCGUUAUCCGGAUUUACUGGGUGUAAAGGGAGCGUAGACGGUUUUGCAAGUCUGAAGUGAAAGCCCGGGGCUUAACCCCGGGACUGCUUUGGAAACUGUAGGACUAGAGUGCAGGAGAGGUAAGUGGAAUUCCUAGUGUAGCGGUGAAAUGCGUAGAUAUUAGGAGGAACACCAGUGGCGAAGGCGGCUUACUGGACUGUAACUGACGUUGAGGCUCGAAAGCGUGGGGAGCAAACAGGAUUAGAUACCCUGGUAGUCCACGCCGUAAACGAUGAUUACUAGGUGUUGGUGGGUAUGACCCAUCGGUGCCGCAG
rnacentral:rRNA from 1 species